rnacentral:rRNA from 1 species
GUCGAGCGGUAGAGAGGUGCUUGCACCUCUUGAGAGCGGCGGACGGGUGAGUAAUGCCUAGGAAUCUGCCUGGUAGUGGGGGAUAACGUUCGGAAACGGACGCUAAUACCGCAUACGUCCUACGGGAGAAAGCAGGGGACCUUCGGGCCUUGCGCUAUCAGAUGAGCCUAGGUCGGAUUAGCUAGUUGGUGAGGUAAUGGCUCACCAAGGCGACGAUCCGUAACUGGUCUGAGAGGAUGAUCAGUCACACUGGAACUGAGACACGGUCCAGACUCCUACGGGAGGCAGCAGUGGGGAAUAUUGGACAAUGGGCGAAAGCCUGAUCCAGCCAUGCCGCGUGUGUGAAGAAGGUCUUCGGAUUGUAAAGCACUUUAAGUUGGGAGGAAGGGUACUUACCUAAUACGUGAGUAUUUUGACGUUACCGACAGAAUAAGCACCGGCUAACUCUGUGCCAGCAGCCGCGGUAAUACAGAGGGUGCAAGCGUUAAUCGGAAUUACUGGGCGUAAAGCGCGCGUAGGUGGUUCGUUAAGUUGAAUGUGAAAUCCCCGGGCUCAACCUGGGAACUGCAUCCAAAACUGGCGAGCUAGAGUAUGGUAGAGGGUGGUGGAAUUUCCUGUGUAGCGGUGAAAUGCGUAGAUAUAGGAAGGAACACCAGUGGCGAAAGGCGACCACCUGGACUGAUACUGACACUGAGGUGCGAAAGCGUGGGGAGCAAACAGGAUUAGAUAC